rnacentral:rRNA from 1 species
CCUACGGGAGGCAGCAGUGGGGAAUAUUGCACAAUGGGGGAAACCCUGAUGCAGCGACGCCGCGUGAGUGAAGAAGUAACUCGGUAUGGAAAGCUCUAUCAGCAGGGAAGAAAAUGACGGUACCUGAGUAAGAAGCCCCGGCUAACUACGUGCCAGCAGCCGCGGUACUACGUAGGGGGCAAGCGUAAUCCGGAUUUACUGGGCGUAAAGGGAGCGUAGACGGCAGUGCAAGUCUGGAGUGAAAGGCGGGGGCUCAACCCCCGGACUGCUCUGGAAACUGUACGGCUGGAGUGCAGGAGAGGUAAGUGGAAUGCGUGGUGUAGCGGUGAAAUGCGUAGAUAUUAGGAGGAACACCAGUGGCGAAGGCGGCUUACUGGACUGUAACUGACGUUGAGGCUCGAAAGCGUGGGGAGCAAACAGGAUUAGAUACCCCUGUAGUC